GAUGAACGCUGGCGGCGUGCCUAAUACAUGCAAGUCGAACGCUGGAAAUCUAGCUUGCUCGAUUGAAGGAGUGGCGAACGGGUGAGUAAUACAUAAGCAACCUACCCACGAAGACUGGGAUAAUCUCUGGAAACGGGGACUAAUACCGGAUAGGUAAUCGGAAGGCAUCUUCUGAUUAUUAAAGGUUAAAAACACUGGUGGAUGGGCUUAUGGCGCAUUAGUUAGUUGGUGAGGUAACGGCCCACCAAGACGAUGAUGCGUAGCCGGCCUGAGAGGGUGAACGGCCACAUUGGGACUGAGACACGGCCCAGACUCCUACGGGAGGCAGCAGUAGGGAAUUUUCGGCAAUGGAGGAAACCCUGACCGAGCAACGCCGCGUGAGUGAUGACGGCCUUCGGGGUGUAAAGCUCUGUUGUAAGGGAAGAACGGUAGAUAGAGAAUAUCUAAAUGACGGUACCUGACCAGAAAGCCACGGCUAACUACGUG
rnacentral:rRNA from 1 species